CAACCACAUCAGGUUAAAAUACCGGUACCCUUCCGAUCACCGAAGUUAAGCAACGUAACCCUGGUCAGUGCUAAGAUAGUUGACCGCUUGGGAAUACUUAGUGAUGUAAU